rnacentral:rRNA from 1 species
GAUGAACGCUGGCGGCGUGCCUAAUACAUGCAAGUCGAGCGAAUGGAUUAAGAGCUUGCUCUUAUGAAGUUAGCGGCGGACGGGUGAGUAACACGUGGGUAACCUGCCCAUAAGACUGGGAUAACUCCGGGAAACCGGGGCUAAUACCGGAUAACAUUUUGAACCGCAUGGUUCGAAAUUGAAAGGCGGCUUCGGCUGUCACUUAUGGAUGGACCCGCGUCGCAUUAGCUAGUUGGUGAGGUAACGGCUCACCAAGGCAACGAUGCGUAGCCGACCUGAGAGGGUGAUCGGCCACACUGGGACUGAGACACGGCCCAGACUCCUACGGGAGGCAGCAGUAGGGAAUCUUCCGCAAUGGGCGAAAGUCUGACGGAGCAACGCCGCGUGAGUGAUGAAGGCUUUCGGGUCGUAAAACUCUGUUGUUAGGGAAGAACAAGUGCUAGUUGAAUAAGCUGGCACCUUGACGGUACCUAACCAGAAAGCCACGGCUAACUACGUGCCAGCAGCCGCAUAA